rfam:Ktedonobacter racemifer DSM 44963 strain SOSP1-21 Krac_Contig206, whole genome shotgun sequence.
GUCAAUGACCGCCGGUCGGAGACCGGAGGCUUGGGAGAGCCUGGCUCUUGCAAGCCGAUUGACCAGACCAGGUUCUUGAGAGAGCGUUGCCGAGCUUCUCUGCGUCACCGCUCCCGCUGAGAGAACGUCGAUGCUUCCAAGUGUUCAAGAUCGUACUGGCGGGUGCUGCCCCAGCCUGCCACCCUACAACGGCUUCUUUAAAACAGGUGAUGAGGUCAGUCCCAGUGAGAAGCCGAAAGUACCGAGAGGCAUCAUGGUCGAGGGGAAGAGAAU